rnacentral:rRNA from 1 species
UACGUAGGCAGCAAGCGUUGUUCGGAGUUACUGGGCGUAAAGGGUGUGUAGGCGGUCCUCUAAGUUUGGUGUGAAAUCUCCCGGCUCAACUGGGAGGGUGCGCCGAAAACUGGAGGGCUAGAGUACUGGAUGGGAGAGUGGAAUUCCUGGUGUAGCGGUGAAAUGCGUAGAUAUCUGGAGGAACACCGGUGGCGAAGGCGCAUCCUGGACCGGCAUUGACGCUGAGGAGCGAAAGCCAGGGGAGCAAACGGA